rnacentral:rRNA from 1 species
GAUGAACGCUGGCGGCGUGCCUAAUACAUGCAAGUCGAGCGAACAGACGAGGAGUUUGCUUCUCUGACGUUAGCGGCGGACGGGUGAGUAACACGUGGAUAACCUACCUAUAAGACUGGGAUAACUUCGGGAAACCGGAGCUAAUACCGGAUAAUAAAUUGAAACGCAUGGUUCAAUAGUGAAAGACGGUUUUGCUGUCACUUAUAGAUGGAUCCGCGCCGCAUUAGCUAGUUGGUAAGGUAACGGCUUACCCAGGCAACGAUGCGUAGCCGACCUGAGAGGGUGAUCGGCCACACUGGAACUGAGACACGGUCCAGACUCCUACGGGAGGCAGCAGUAGGGAAUCUUCCGCAAUGGGCGAAAGCCUGACGGAGCAACGCCGCGUGAGUGAUGAAGGUCUUCGGAUCGUAAAACUCUGUUAUUAGGGAAGAACAAAUGUGUAAGUAACUAUGCACGGCUUGACGGUACCUAAUCAGAAAGCCACGGCUAACUACGUG